rnacentral:rRNA from 1 species
AUUGAACGCUGGCGGAAUGCUUUACACAUGCAAGUCGAACGGCAGCACGGGGGCAACCCUGGUGGCGAGUGGCGAACGGGUGAGUAAUACAUCGGAACGUGCCCAGUCGUGGGGGAUAACGUAGCGAAAGUUACGCUAAUACCGCAUACGAUCUACGGAUGAAAGCGGGGGACCGUAAGGCCUCGCGCGAUUGGAGCGGCCGGUGUCAGAUUAGGUAGUUGGUGAGGUAAAGGCUCACCAAGCCGACGAUCUGUAGCUGGUCUGAGAGGACGACCAGCCACACUGGGACUGGGACACGGCCCAGACUCCUACGGGAGGCAGCAGUGGGGAAUUUUGGACAAUGGGCGCAAGCCUGAUCCAGCCAUUCCGCGUGCAGGACGAAGGCCUUCGGGUUGUAAACUGCUUUUGUACGGAACGAAAAGGCUCUGGUUAAUACCUGGGGCUCAUGACGGUACCGUAAGAAUAAGCACCGGCUAACUACGUGCCAGCCGCCGCGGUAA